GUUAGAUCUGCUCCUCAGAGAUACUAGGGGAGCACUGGGAGGAGCUGCUGACGUGCAACACCCAAGGGGUGACAGCUGGCAGCAGAGGAGCAGAGCCUCACGCGGUAAACACGAAUCUACAGACCAUUAGGAUGAGACUUUCCAGUAAAGAUGGCAACGUGAAGCAGAAUCAUGGACCUUAUACUUUAUAAAAUGAACAAAAUACAGGUUCAACAAAAAUUCUAAAAAUUUUCUAGUAGCAACUGAGCAAGAAAUACGGUACAAUCUUAUGCCAAAACUGUGCAAUUGAGCUGUGCCUGCACCUAAUCCUACUGCAGAGACAGUACUGAAGACAGAAGGAAAAUCAAUAAUGCUGAGAAUUAUCCUAAUAUGCUGCAAUUAGGAGACAAGUCUCAGAAGACCCCGCAGGACACAUCUCCCAAGCACCAGGACCUUUGCCAGACUCCAGGAGAAAAUGGAUUUAUAGGAAACUUGCCUCAGGUGGAGAAACACCUUCUUCCCAGAGGAACAGGGGUCACAAAUACUCAGUCAGGUAAACAAAUGUCUGCACAUCUAUCUGUGAAAACCUGCCCACUCAACUGGAAAAAGAAAGGGGCAGGUGAAAAGUAUGAAGUGGAGAAAUACAUCUUGCUGAGUAUUAGGAGACAUGGGGACUGUCUGCGUUAGCGAGGGUGCUUAGGUGCAAGCAGUGGACCUGCUCAGCUUUACUUCACCAUGGAGUGGGUGCUGGGAGAUGCUUGGGUUGUGUAGCAUGUGCCAUUUGGAAAGACAUGACAUCUCUUCCAGGCAGUCAAGAGUCCUUUUUCCAGGGCACUGCCUCCGCUGCAGAGGCAGUCAUGGUUAUGGCUUCUGGGAUCAAGAGUCUGACUGGCUCACCCUGGGUGGCACACACUCGGGCUUCACGGUGGGCAGGCGGCUUCUCUUAUUCUUGACCAUUGUGGUGUCCCUUGAAAGAUCAUCAGAGCAUGACAAGGACUCUCUGACCCAUGUGACAGUCCUUGAACCACCGAUUAAUUUUCCUAUCGCACAUCCCUUAUUUUGAGCAAUGGACCACUGGCCCCACCCAUGGAGGGAUCUCACCAAGGAAUGAAAUGUAUUCAUGGCAUCUGGGGAUGUAGUAUUUAACUGAAAAUACAGAAAUAGAGCCAGACGUUGGUGGUGGGAGGGACUGAACAUAUAAAGAUGACAUUUUAAGUUAGUAGAAAAAUUGAUAAAUGGUUUUGGGAUGGCUGUGUACCACUGGGGAAAAAGCCUAAGAUUCCCACUUCAUACUAUGCUCCAAGAUAGAUUCCAGAGAGAAUGAGACAAAUGAUAAAACAUGAAACCAUAAAAACUUUAAAAGAAAAAAUGGGAGACUUUUGCAAUCUCAGAGAGCAAAGGCUUUUCUAAACAUGCCA